rnacentral:rRNA from 1 species
AGAGGGAGCCUGAGAAACGGCUACCACAUCNNNGGAAGGCAGCAGGCGCGCAAAUUACCCAAUCCCGACACGGGGAGGUAGUGACAAUAAAUAACAAUAUAGGGCCCUUUUGGGUCUUAUAAUUGGAAUGAGUACAAUUUAAAUCCCUUAACGAGGAACAAUUGGAGGGCAAGUCUGGUGCCAGCAGCCGCGGUAAUUCCAGCUCCAAUAGCGUAUANNNAAGUUGUUGCAGUUAAAAAGCUCGUAGUUGAAUUUCGGGGUUAGUAGGUUGGUCAUGCCUCUGGUAUGUACUGAUCUCACUGAUUCCUCCUUCCUGAUGAACCGUAAUGCCAUUAAUUUGGUGUUGCGGGGAAUUUGGACUGUUACUUUGAAAAAAUUAGAGUGUUUAAAGCAAGCUAACGCUUGAAUACAUUAGCAUGGAAUAAUGAAAUAGGACGUUCGAUCCUAUUUUGUUGGUUUCUAGGAUUGACGUAAUGAUUAAUAGGGAUAGUUGGGGGCAUUAGUAUUCAAUUGUCAGAGGUGAAAUUCUUGGAUUUACUGAAGACUAACUAUUGCGAAAGCAUUUGCCAAGGAUGUUUUCAUUAAUCAAGAACGAAAGUUAGGGGAUCGANNNNNAUCAGAUACCGUCGUAGUCUUAACCAUAAACUAUGCCGACUAGGAAUCAGACGAUGUUAAUUUUUUAAUGACUCGUUUGGCACCUUACGGGA